rnacentral:tRNA from 3 species
UGGGGCGUCGCCAAGCGGUAAGGCACGAGACUUUGGAUCUCGCAUUCGGAGGUUCGAAUCCUCCCGCCCCAACCA